rnacentral:rRNA from 1 species
AACGCGAAGAACCUUACCAGGGCUUGACAUCCCUUGAUCGGUGCAGAAAUGCAUCCUCCAUAGCAAUAUGGCAGGGUGACAGGUGCUGCAUGGCUGUCGUCAGCUCGUGUCGUGAGAUGUUGGGUUAAGUCCCGCAACGAGCGCAACCCUUGUCCUGUGUUACCAUGCCGAAAGGCGGCACUCGCAGGAGACCGCCAGCGAUAAGCUGGAGGAAGGUGGGGAUGACGUCAAGUCCUCAUGGCCUUUAUGUCCAGGGCUACACACGUGCUACAAUGGGCGGUACAAAGCGCUGCUAAGUCGCAAGACGGAGCCAAUCGCAAAAAGCCGCUCUCAGUUCGGAUUGCAGGCUGCAACUCGCCUGCAUGAAGCUGGAAUCGCUAGUAAUGCUAUAUCAGAACGAUAGCGUGAAUACGUUCCCGGGCCUUGUACACACCGAGUAUA